ACUCCUACGGGAGGCAGCAGUGGGGAAUAUUGGACAAUGGGCGCAAGCCUGAUCCAGCCAUGCCGCGUGAGUGAUGAAGGCCCUAGGGUUGUAAAGCUCUUUCACCGGUGAAGAUAAUGACGGUAACCGGAGAAGAAGCCCCGGCUAACUUCGUGCCAGCAGCCGCGGUAAUACGAAGGGGGCUAGCGUUGUUCGGAUUUACUGGGCGUAAAGCGCACGUAGGCGGACUAUUAAGUCAGGGGUGAAAUCCCGGGGCUCAACCCCGGAACUGCCUUUGAUACUGGUAGUCUUGAGUUCGAGAGAGGUGAGUGGAAUUCCGAGUGUAGAGGUGAAAUUCGUAGAUAUUCGGAGGAACACCAGUGGCGAAGGCGGCUCACUGGCUCGAUACUGACGCUGAGGUGCGAAAGCGUGGGGAGCAAACAGGAUUAGAUACCCUAGUAGUCC
rnacentral:rRNA from 1 species